GAUGAACGCUGACAGAAUGCUUAACACAUGCAAGUCGAUUCGAUUUACCUUCGGGUAUUGAGGAUGGCGGACGGGUGAGUAACGCGUAAGGAACUUGCCUCUUGGUCUGGGACAACUGUUGGAAACGACAGCUAAUACCGGAUAUUAUGAGAUUCUCGCAUGGGAAACUUAUGAAAGCUAUAUGCGCCAAGAGAGAGCCUUGCGUUCCAUUAGCUAGUUGGUGGGGUAACGGCCCACCAAGGCGACGAUGGAUAGCCGGCCUGAGAGGGUGAACGGCCACAAGGGGACUGAGACACGGCCCUUACUCCUACGGGAGGCAGCAGUGGGGAAUAUUGGACAAUGGGCCACAAGCCUGAUCCAGCAAUUCUGUGUGCACGAUGAAGGUCUUCGGAUUGUAAAGUGCUUUCAGUUGGGAAGAAGAAAGUGACGGUACCAACAGAAGAAGCGACGGCUAAAUACGUGCCAGCAGCCGCGGUAAUACGUAUGUCGCAAGCGUUAUCCGGAUUUAUUGGGCGUAAAGCGCGUCUAGGCGGAAAAAUAAGUCUGAUGUUAAAAUGCGGGGCUCAACUCCGUAUUGCGUUGGAAACUGUUUUUCUAGAGUACUGGAGAGGUGGGCGGAACUACAAGUGUAGAGGUGAAAUUCGUAGAUAUUUGUAGGAAUGCCGAUGGAGAAGUCAGCUCACUGGACAGAUACUGACGCUNAAGC
rnacentral:rRNA from 1 species